AUUGAACGCUGGCGGCAGGCCUCACACCUGCAAGUCGAACGCGUGGCGGACGGGUUAGUAAUGUCUGAGCAACUGCCUGAUGGAGGGGGAUAACUACUGGAAACGGUAGCUAAUACCGCAUACCAUCAGCUAUGCCCAGAUUGGAUUAGCUAGUUGGUGGGGUAACGGCUCACCAGGGCGACGAUCCCUAGCUGGUCUGAGAGGAUGAACAGCCAGACUGUAACUGAGCAACUGUCCAGACUCUUACGGUAGGCAGCAGUGGGGAAUAUUGGACAAUGGGCGAAAGCCUGAUGCAGCCAUGCCGCGUGUAUUAAGAAGGCCUUCGGGUUGUAAAGUACUUUCAGCGGGGAGGCGUUACCCGAAGAAGAAGCACCGGCUAACUCCGUGCCAGCAGCCGCGGUAAUAC
rnacentral:rRNA from 1 species